GGAAACACAAUAUAUGUUAAAACCCCUUCAGCAGCUUACCUUAUUCCCCCGCCGGCGUCAGCUCCCGAGUGGAGCUGAAUGCGAAGAAAGUGCCGCGAGCGCAUUCAAAGUGUCCAUAGGAAAGUAUUUCUCAAUGCUUUCCUAUGGACGCUCUGCACGAUGGAGGCGAAAUGUGACUCCAGCGUCGCAGAUGCGCCUCUAGUGGCUAGAUUAACCCAAAUGUAAACAUAGCAGUUUCCCUGAAACUGCUAUGUUUGC